ACGACCAGCUAUGCGAUUCUGUAACAAACACAUCAUCGAUGCUAACAACGACGAGUUCACAGAUGUCGCAUCGUAGACAUCGCUUUUAAAAACAACGUUGAUGAAAACCGUAUUCGCUUAGCUCAAAAGCUCGUCGACGAUCUGCCGAACAACGAUGUCGGGUAGGAUGUUUACAGUGUUGCCAAAUUUCUUCUAAAGCAAUUUAAAGUAUAAUCGAGAAAAUCUCGACUAACGUUUUUUGGCGUUAUUUCGACAUUUUAAAUCAAUGUAAAUGCAUAAUAUGUAUGUAUAAAACACAUUCUAUUCGAUAAGCAACGAAUAUUUAAUUAAUCAUAUCAUUUUCGACAUAGAAAAUAAUGACUCAAAUCUUUGACAUUUGUUAUAAUCUAGGUUAUGUAGUAUAAUAUAUAGUCUGUGUCAUUUCAAAACUUUUCAAAAUCAAAACAAACAUUUUGCUCAUAACUGGAUUAUAUCUUUAUUUAUCUAAAUACGAGAUUUCAAAGCUCCAAAUGGCUUUAAGCGGUCAAGUGGACUUUAAAAAAAGUUGUACCCCUGACCAACGGCAUUCUACUUGUCCUGUGUUUUAGUUUGGUCCCAAAACUAUCGAAAUGUCUCGCAACGCACUGCCUUCGUUGAGUCAGCUGGAAGAGCUAGUAAGCUUUUUGGAAAGCAAACCAUGUUUGAUUAUGAUGGGCCAUGAUCGUACUGCAAAGCGAGCAGUCAUCAGGCACGAUCCGAAAACAACAGCCCCAAACAGUGACGUAGUGGGUGUAUGAAAAUAUUGGAGCAGUGGUGUAAGCACUAGAAGGACAAAAGGGAGCAGUUCAGAGGAAGUCCAGUUCUAUAGCAGCUGCGAGGCAACAUGAAGAAAUUUGUCAGAACUUGGUGUAAUUGAGUUAACAAUACAUUCCAUUAUGCGAGGAGAAUGUUUUGGAAUCUGAAUUUAGAUAAAUAAAUCCAUGUUCAUUAUAAAAUACAAAAUAAUAAAAAGACAUGUUGAAUUAAAA
rnacentral:lncRNA from 1 species